rnacentral:piRNA from 1 species
UGUGACAUGAGUUUACCUAUAAAAUAAAC